rnacentral:misc_RNA from 1 species
GAGAAGGACUGCGUUCUCCCUCUCCUCUCGAAGAUCCUCGGUUACGCCAUCGUUGCCGCCUCUACCACCGUCAAAGUCCCGCAGAUAUAUAAAAUUUUGAAGCACCAUAGUGUGAGGGGACUUAGUGUUGCUGCCUUUGAACUUGAAGUUGUUGGUUAUACAAUUGCCUUAUCUUAUUGUCUUCACAAAAGGCUUCCUUUUUCAGCAUAUGGAGA